rnacentral:ncRNA from 28 species
GGUUGGAGCAUUUAAAGCUUUCAAGAUAUGCUUAUUUGGGUCAAUAAGC